AUUGAACGCUGGCGGCAGGCCUAACACAUGCAAGUCGAGCGAGCGGCGGACGGGUGAGUAAUGUCUGGGACAAUGACCGAUGGAGGGGGACAAGAACUGGAAGCGGUAGCUAAUAACGCACAGCACCAGCUGAACCGAUAUGGGAUUAGCUAGUAGGUAAGGUAACGGCUUACCAAGGCGACGAUCCCUAGCUGGUCUGAGAGGAUGAUCAGCCACACUGGGACUGAGACACGGCCCAGACUCCUACGGGAGGCAGCAGUGGGGAAUAUUGCACAAUGGGCGCAAGCCUGAUGCAGCCAUGCCGCGUGUAUGAAGAAGGCCUUCGAGUUGUAAAGUACUUUCAGUCGGGAGGCGUUACCGACAGAAGAAGCACCGGCUAACUCCGUGCCAGCAGCCGCGGUAAUUC
rnacentral:rRNA from 1 species